CUUAUUUUUAAUGUAAUGGUAUGAUUUGAUGAUACAUUAUGAAGAAACAUGUCAGCAUAGUUUACAGUAGUAGAAAGUUCAUUGGGGAACAUGCCCAAUCUACUGAAGUUCCAGAGUGAACAAGUAGGGGGCAUCUGUUAGAAAGCAUUAAUGAGGCCUUACUGAUCAGUUCCAUGUUUCUGUUACUAUUCCCCUUCUUGUCUGUGAGCAGGUUAUUGUACAGUGAGUACAUUACUGUGGUGGACUUUUGGUAUAGGAACCAAAGUGGCAUGUUAGCAGUGAUGUCCGUCCCACCCUGACAGUCCUUCCCCCCUCCAGUGUGGAGCUGC
rnacentral:lncRNA from 1 species